rnacentral:rRNA from 1 species
GACGAACGCUGGCGGCGUGCUUAACACAUGCAAGUCGAACGGAAAGGCCCUGCUUUUGUGGGGUGCUCGAGUGGCGAACGGGUGAGUAACACGUGAGUAACCUGCCCUUGACUUUGGGAUAACUUCAGGAAACUGGGGCUAAUACCGGAUAGGAGCUCCUGCUGCAUGGUGGGGGUUGGAAAGUUUCGGCGGUUGGGGAUGGACUCGCGGCUUAUCAGCUUGUUGGUGGGGUAGUGGCUUACCAAGGCUUUGACGGGUAGCCGGCCUGAGAGGGUGACCGGCCACAUUGGGGCUGAGAUACGGCCCAGACUCCUACGGGAGGCAGGAGGGGGGAAUAUUGCACAAGGGGGGGAAGCCUGAUUCAGCAACGCCGCGUGGGGGAUGACGGCCUUCGGGUUGUAAACCGCUUUCGCCUGUGACGAAGCGUGAGUGACGGGAAUGGGUAAAGAAGCACCGGCUAACUACGUG